GACGAACCGUGCGAACGUUGUUCGGAAUCACUGGGCUUAAAGGGCGCGUAGGCGGCUCGCUAGGUCGGGGGUGAAAUCCCACGGCUCAACCGUGGAAGGGCCUCCGAUACCGGCGGGCUGGAGGAAGGUAGGGGUGCGCGGAACUUCUGGUGGAGCGGUGAAAUGCGUUGAUAUCAGAAGGAACGCCGGCGGCGAAAGCGGCGCACUGGACCUUUUCUGACGCUGAGGCGCGAAAGCCAGGGGAGCAAACGGG
rnacentral:rRNA from 1 species